CUCCUCCCGUCCAGUGUCCACCUGAUACUGCUGGCAUGGCCAAGCUAAAGAAAAGGACCAUAAAAGCGCCAUUAACACCAACUUUACUACCGCCAAUCCCCCCUAUGCCUUCUUCACCUGUCUCUGGACCUGUACAGUUCCAAGUGAUAGUGACACCACCACUGCCCACAACCAUGGUACCAACUGUACAGCCAGGACAGAAGAGGAAAGCUGUGGAUGCAGGGAUGGUAAAGAAAAGAAAAACCGCAACUGUCAAGUGCCAUAAGUGUGGAGAAGAGAGAACACCUCCCACUCACCAACAGUACAUGGGCUUCAGAUACUGUGGAAAGACAGAGACAACAUCCUUUGAUGAAUGGAGGGCAAGUUGAAAAAAAGGGCCAGGAAAAGGAAAGGACCACAGUAGAGCCAUGUGAAGUCUGCAGAAGGGCAGCCAGUUUCCACAGUAGAGCCUCCUCAGUCAUCUGUUGUUAAAAGACUCCAUCCACUUAUUUGGCCAAGUUAGACAAUCCUGAUUCUAAUGCAGACAUUCCAGUCCCCAUGGUCAGAAGCUCUUCAAUCAGGUGAAACACCAGGAACAACAGACGAAACUGUACCAUCAAAGGAUGACAGUACUAUGAUAGUCACAGACAAAACUGCAGCAAAAACAGGUCAGCAUGUUAGCAAAACUGGAUGAAUACAAACACCUGGAACUUGGCCAUAGACUUCUACAGUAAAACCAUACAGUCAUAUAGAGUUUGGAACUUCACUCUCAGACCAAGGGGGAUAACUCCAUAUUGAUUGAGAUCAUGGACACCUGUCAUCACUGAAACUUUACAACUUUAUUUGGAAUCAUCUUCACUUUUGAAAAAACAGAUGAACCAGUUGUCUGAUUACUGAUGAUCCUGGAGUUACAUAUCACCCAACCCACCUUAGACUGUAGUAUUACAGAGUGUCCGAUACCAUGAUUCCCUAUGUGUGGGCUCUAGCGGGGACGUUCCUGUGCCAGGGUCAUAUAAAGACGUGCCAGGUUUUGGAGUUGGAGGAAAGCUUUUUUAAGAGUACCCAGAUAAAAACCACUGGUCUACGGUCAGUACCGGGCAACUUCCCUGUGUGGGUUUUGAACUCGCAACCCAGAGGUGGAGGGCUUAGUGAUAAUUUGUCAGGACAACUUAACCACUCGGCCACCAAAGGUAUAGGAGAUCCAUUGGUUGUGGGAGUCAUAUGUGGAAAGCUAGAUCCUGAUGACAGUAUUUGAAGUCUGAUGUGGCAUAUUUCAUCUUAAGCAUAAUUACUGCUGCUGCUGGAAUGGAUGUGUUUUCAACUGUUUAAUUUACACAUU